AAAACGUCGAACCAGAAGAUGCUCCCAUAGGUUUGCCCGUUGUGACAAAGUCUUCUCGCCCAGACAAGGGGAAGUCCUCACAAGUGGUGGAGUCACAGGUGAUAGACUUGGCUGGAGAUAUGCCACCUCCCAAGAUUGCUGAUGAGGAUGCUGAUAAGAUUGUGCGUUCCAUCCAAAACUUGUUCACUUCCUCGGGGCAAGUCAAGAUGUCUCCCCCUGCUUCAACCAGUCGUCCUUCUGCUUUUUCAGAGGAAGAUAU